AACGAACGCUGGCGGCAGGCCUAACACAUGCAAGUCGAGCGAGAUCUUCGGGUCUAGCGGCGAACGGGUGAGUAACGCGUGGGAAUAUGCCUCUUGGUACGGAAUAGCCUCGGGAAACUGGGAGUAAUACCGUAUGUGCCCUUUGGGGGAAAGAUUUAUCGCCAAGAGAUUAGCCCGCGUUGGAUUAGGUAGUUGGUGGGGUAAUGGCCUACCAAGCCGACGAUCCAUAGCUGGUUUGAGAGGAUGAUCAGCCACACUGGGACUGAGACACGGCCCAGACUCCUACGGGAGGCAGCAGUGGGGAAUCUUAGACAAUGGGGGCAACCCUGAUCUAGCCAUGCCGCGUGAGUGAUGAAGGCCUUAGGGUUGUAAAGCUCUUUCAGCUGGGAAGAUAAUGACGGUACCAGCAGAAGAAGCCCCGGCUAACUCCGUGCCAGCAGCCGCGGUAAUACGGAGGGGGCUAGCGUUGUUCGGAAUUACUGGGCGUAAAGCGCACGUAGGCGGACCAGAAAGUUGGGGGUGAAAUCCCGGGGCUCAACCCCGGAACUGCCUUCAAAACUAUUGGUCUGGAGUUCGAGAGAGGUGAGUGGAAUUCCGAGUGUAGAGGUGAAAUUCGUAGAUAUUCGGAGGAACACCAGUGGCGAAGGCGGCUCACUGGCUCGAUACUGACGCUGAGGUGCGAAAGCGUGGGGAGCAAACAGG
rnacentral:rRNA from 1 species